UAGGGAAUCUUCCACAAUGGACGCAAGUCUGAUGGAGCAACGCCGCGUGAGUGAAGAAGGUUUUCGGACCGUAAAGCUCUGUUGUUGGUGAAGAAGGAUAGAGGUAGUAACUGGCCUUUAUUUGACGGUAAUCAACCAGAAAGUCACGGCUAACUACGUGCCAGCAGCCGCGGUAAUACGUAGGUGGCAAGCGUUGUCCGGAUUUAUUGGGCGUAAAGCGAGCGCAGGCGGAAGAAUAAGUCUGAUGUGAAAGCCCUCGGCUUAACCGAGGAAUUGCAUCGGAAACUGUUUUCUUGAGUGCAGAAGAGGAGAGUAGAAACUCCAUGUGUAGCGGUGGAAUGCGUAGAUAUAUGGAAGAAUACCAGUGGCGAAGGCGGCUCUCUGGUCUGCAACUGACGCUGAGGCUCGAAAAGCAUGGUAGCGAACAGGAUUAGAUACCCUGGUAGUCCAUGCCGUAAAACGAUGAGUGCUAAUGUUGGGAGGCUUCCGCCUCUCAGUGCUGCAGCUAACGCAUUAAGCACUCCGCCUGGGGGAGUACGACCGCAAGGUUGAAAC
rnacentral:rRNA from 1 species